rnacentral:rRNA from 1 species
UUCGGUACAUCGGUGACAGGUGGUGGCAUGGUUGUCGUCAGCUCGUGUCGUGAGAUGUGGUUAAGUCCGCAACGAGCGCAACCCCUAUUGUUAGUUGCCAUCAUUCAGUUGGGCACUCUAGCGAGACUGCCGGUAAUAAACCGGAGGAAGGUGGGGAUGACGUCAAAUCAUCAUGCCCCUUAUGACCUGGGCUACACACGUGCUACAAUGGUUGGUACAACGAGUUGCGAGUCGGUGACGGCGAGCUAAUCUCUUAAAGCCAAUCUCAGUUCGGAUUGUAGGCUGCAACUCGCCUACAUGAAGUCGGAAUCGCUAGUAAUCGCGGAUCAGCACGCCGCGGUGAAUACGUUCCCGGGCCUU